rnacentral:rRNA from 1 species
GUAGGAGAGCGUUCUAAGGGCGUUGAAGGCAGAUCGUGAGGACUGCUGGAGCGCUUAGAAGUGAGAAUGCCGGUAUGAGUAGCGAAAGACAGGUGAGAAUCCUGUCCACCGAAUGACUAAGGUUUCCUGGGGAAGGCUCGUCCGCCCAGGGUUAGUCGGGACCUAAGCCGAGGCCGACAGGCGUAGGCGAUGGACAACAGGUUGAUAUUCCUGUACCCGUUGUUUUUGUUUGAGCAAUGGAGGGACGCAGGAGGCUAAGAAGUGCAGACUGAUGGAUAUGUCUGUUCAAGCAGUAAGUCUUGGUAGGAGUCAAAUGCUUCUACCUAUACGGACAAGCUGUGAUGAGGAGGGAAAUAAUAGUACCGAAGCUUCUGAUGUCACACUGCCAAGAAAAGCUUCUAGUGAGAAAACAACGGCCCGUACCGCAAACCGACACAGGUAGUCGAGGAGAGAAUCCUAAGGUGAGCGAGAGAACUCUCGUUAAGGAACUCGGCAAAAUGACCCCGUAACUUCGGGAGAAGGGGUGCUGCUCUAACGAGCAGCCGCAGUGAAUAGGCCCAAGCGACUGUUUAUCAAAAACACAGGUCUCUGCAAAAUCGAAAGAUGACGUAUAGGGGCUGACGCCUGCCCGGUGCUGGAAGGUUAAGAGGAGU